CUACUAUUCACUUUUCCUUUUUUCAUUAGUUGCAGGUGUUUCAGGCUUUAUAAUGACAUUAGUACUGGUACUCAUGGUUACGUCAUCAACAGGACUUCUAAGACGUUCGUAUUUUGA